rnacentral:lncRNA from 1 species
CCGUCAGCGUCUCUAUCUCAAGUUUCAGGUCUUCCAACAACUUAUUCUUCUCACUAUCUUCUUUUCUCAAUCCCUCGAUCUCAAGUUUCAGUUUUUCCAACAACUUGUUCUUCUCACCGUCAUCUUUUCUCAAUGCCUCAGUCGCAAGUUUCAGAUUUUCUAACAAAAUAUUCUUCUCAUCAUCUCCUUUCCUCAGUGCCUCUUUCUCAAGUUCCACAUUUUCCAACAACUUAUUCUUCUCACCAUCUUCUUUUCUCAGAGCCUCCAUCUCGAGUUUCAGAUUUUCCAACAACUUAUUCUUCUCACUAUCUUCUUUUCUCAGAGCCUCUAUCUCAUGUUUCAGGUUUUCCAACAACUUAUUCUUCUCACUGCCUUCUUCUCUCAGCCCCGCUAUCUCAAGGUUCAGAUCUUCCACCAACUUAUUCGUCUCACAAGACUCAUUUUCAUUCCUGGAUUCAAGCAAAGAUUUCACUCUCACUAACUCAGCUGAGAGAAUUUCCAC